AAACUCGAAAACCAAGGCGCCCAGGGUUGUGUGAGGGUUUCCGCUCUGCGCCCCGCGGGGUUCCAUGGGUCCUGCACAGCAUCAGGCCUGAGCCGCCGGUCCAACUGCUCCAGCUCGAUGGAGUUUGUGACAGCCCUGGUGAACCUCCAAGAGGAGUCUAGCUGUCCCAUCUGUCUGGAGUACUUGAAAGACCCAGUGACCAUCAACUGUGGGCACAACUUCUGUCGCUCCUGCCUCAGUGUAUCCUGGAAGGAUCUAGAUGAUACCUUUCCCUGUCCUGUCUGCCGUUUUUGCUUUCCAUACAAGAGCUUCAGGAGGAACCCCCAGCUCCGUAAUUUGACUGAAAUUGCUAAACAACUCCAGAUUAGGAGGAGCAAGAGAAAGAGGCA
rnacentral:lncRNA from 1 species